rnacentral:piRNA from 1 species
UUUUUAAGGUUAUAGGUAAUC